AUGAGUUCGUCGACUAAUUCCGCAGCAGCAUACCCUCCUCAUCCCCAACCUUACUCGAUGGCGCCCGGAUCCUAUUACGUGCAGGCUCCGCCACCUGCUGGUUAUCCCACAAGAGAUGCUCCAAAUCCUGCUUCCGCUCAUCAUGGGCCUGUAGAAACCAAGUCCAAGGGUGAUGGCUUCUGGAAGGGAUGUUGUGCUGCCUUGUGUUGUUGUUGUCUCUUGGAUGCUUGUUUUUGA
rnacentral:lncRNA from 1 species